UUGUCAGUUGAAAACAUGGCCAGCAAGAGAGAAGAAGUGGCACAUAAUUCUAGCGUGGAUUUAUUUUCUCUACAGGAUGUAUUGUAUGCAUUUAAUAAUAGUUUAAGUGAAGAACAGGCCUGGGCUGUUUGUUAUCAGUGUGCACAUUUUUUCGAGCAAAAUCCAUCCCAGGAUAGUUUUAGAGAUCUUUAUUAUUAUGGAAUUACUGCGAUUGGAUUAUCAAAAGAAGGGGAUGUUAAAAUAGAAGUGAAUUUCAGUCAGGGUUCAGGAAAAGGCCCUCCUAAGAAUAGAAGUUCAUUUUCACUGAGUAGAGAAUUCAAAACAGUUAUCACACCUACAGAUGUACGACAGGCCCUGGGAACAGCAAUAUACAAGGCCCUGGACUUUGGCCUCAGUGAAUCAGAGGAGCCGCAUCUGAGUUCUGACCUGGAGGCCCUGAUAGAGUUCCUCACAGAUCACCCAACAGAUGAUGAUGAGGGUAUAGAUAUUGAGAGAGAUUCUGACCAGGAUAUUGACGACAGUCAGUGUCGUGAACAGUCAGAGUUCCAGGAUAUCAUUGAUAGUUGUGUGAGGCGCCUGUCAAGUCAGCAGAAUGCCCAGCUACACUACAAGGCUGUGUGUCGUGCCCUGGCCACAGAGGCAACAGAACUCGUUACAUUCCUCGAUAAUAUUGCAAAAGGACAAGAGAAAUUGGCAACUAAUAAAGGUGAUAACCAACCUUCUGUUGAUGACCUUGAAAGGUCAGAUUGGGCUAGGCUAUGGGUACAGAUCAUGCGUGAAUUACGGCAUGGGGUACGGUUGAAAAAAGUUGAACAAGUCCAACUUCUUCCGCUAGAGUUUGAACUCACACCAUUUGAGAUUUUGCUUGAAGACAUACGGCUAGGCAGAUUCAAACUCAACAGAAUAAUGGUGAAUGGUGACAUUCCGAGGAAGGUCAAGGACGAUGCUCAUGCUGUCAUACUAGACUUCAUACGAUCCAGACCCCCGCUCAAACCUGCAAAUAGACGUAAAUUAAAAGAGCGGCCACCGGAAAUGGACCCUAGAGAAUUACUGUUACAAGAUAUACGCCAACCUCAGACUUUAAAACCUGUCAAACAUGGCAAGGUUGUUGUUCGGAAGCCAACAUUAGACUGUGAUACAAAUGAUUCCUCAGAAGAAGAGAGCCCAAAACAAGUGAGAAAGGUCAUCAAACCAGUAGCAGCCUUUCAGGUAUCGAAUGGAAGUCAAGAGGUAUCUACAGAUGAUUCUGAUUCUUACUUUUCCGAUCCUGAAGAUGAUUAUCGUAACCAUAUCAGCCCCCCUGUGAUGUCACCACUUGAUCCCAUUUAUCCAGAUGCUGAUGAUGUCAACUGGAAACGUGCCGUUACCAGGGACCUUGCGAGACAACCUUCCAAUAACUGUCGUUCUGUGUCCAGACGUCAUACAAUAAGUGCCUGUGAUAUUAAAAGUGGGAAAAAGGUAUCCGCACCUUCCCAGCAUGCUCCUCUUCCCGAGGAUGAAGAAGACAAUGUUGUGCAUAGUGGAAAUUUUAAUCGUGGUCAUGCUGCAAGAAAAACUACAAAAAUUGUAUCGUAUCGUAAAAAGCACCAAGAUGUACAGCAUGCUUAUAGAGAUAGUCCUCAAACUGUUUCUGCACAGAACUAUUCGAAUAGGCCGAAAUCCCCGCUUAAGCAUGUUGGUCAAUGUGUUUUAUCAAAAUCGCAUGGAAAUCUUGUGGACGGUGUAUUUUCAGUUCAUAAUAAUAUGCAUGAAAUGUCGUCUAGUGAUAUGUCUCGUUUAUCUCGUUCUGCUAGUGUAGCCUCUAUUUCAGAACCUCGUAGAUGUAUGUCUCCAAACCGCCAUGUUGGACGAUCUCAGUCGCCCAGAAUGCAUGCAGGUAGACCAGAAUCACCUGUGCGUCAUUUAUCUCGUUCAGAAACAUUUACUUGUAGUGUUCCUCGUAAAUCUCGUGCUUGUAUUCGUAAUGAGACCCAUAUAGCAACUCGAUGUGAUUCCCCUCAGACUCGUGCUUUAAAACAUUCUGACAGUUUUCCUCCGAGAUCGGAGAGCCCAACUCAUUCACGUAGAACUGAAUCUCCAAGGAGACAUUCUGUCCAUAUGGUGCGCUCUUCAAAUGACACUGCAUGUGAUACUCAAGUUUCUAGUGAUAAUGUGCAUAGACAUUCUGUUCAGCAUGCGCAUGGUUUUGUUCCACGUACUUCUAAUAAUUUGCAAAACUCUCGUUCAGUUCGGAGGAAUUCAAGUUUUACAGGUGCAUGUUUAUCAAGGGUGAAGCAUGAAUCACCGAUUCAAAAAGAAGCAUGGUCAGAAAAUCACAACCAGGGUAAAGGGUCAAGUUCACAGUCACCGAAUCAAGAUAGAUUACAUGGUGACCCUGUUAAGAAUAAUUCAAAAGUUAUUAAGAAUUCUUUUUCAAAAUUGGAAAAUAAUGAGUCAUUUCAAAAUGGUGAAACUUCUAAUCCACAGGAUAAAGUGAGUGAAACCAAUGGGAAAACAAUUGACAAUGUAGCUGUAAGAAGGUCGAGGACAACUAUUGUUAGAGCAAGGUCACGGCCUGAUGUAAGGUCAAAAGAUAUCAAAGAAGAAGAAGAAAAACAUUUUCAGUUUAUUGAAAGAGCUAGUGCUGCUUCUAAAAUUGUUAAUAGUGGUGAUCAUGAAAGAGCAAGACCAACUAGUGAAAUUGACUUUAAUCAAAAAACAAGGUCACAGGUCACUAGAGCCAGGAGCAGUGUUGAAAGACCUGUUUUCUCAAGAUCAGUUGACAGUAGAAUUCCAGUUAGAUCUGAAAGGACUGCAAAUGGUGUCUCUAGAACAGAUUCAUCUGAAACAGAAAAUGGACAAAAUGAAGUGGAGUCAAAGCCUAAGAGAGCAGUGAGACUGUCUCGUCAGUCGGCAAUCAGGACUGAGGGCUCUGACAUAAGAUCAAAAUUGCAGAGUAAAACUGCAGGAGAGAGGGUGACUGAGAAGCCUACAACUGAUACUGAAAAACAAUCACAGCCUGUUUGUGACCAUGAAAGUAAACCUAGAGAAUCUCGAACAAGACGUGUUGGCGUUGUUGCCAAUGAAAGAAAUGUUAAUGAUACAAGUAAAUCAACAAGUGUUGCUGAUAGUAUUUCAAAACAGGAAGUGUCAUCAUCAGAAAAGGAGAAAGACCUCAAGAAGACAUGAAUUCAGACAAGUAAGACCAAUUUUAAGGUCAAGGUCAGAGGUGAGACCAGAAAUGAAACCAGUGAAAGGUUCACAUAACUUACCGGUAGAUUUUGAGCAUAAUAAUCUCGAUCAUUUAGAAGAUAAGCAUGUGAUUAUCCCGCCUCCUGAGUUCAGAGACCCUGAUGAUAACACCACUCCGACAAAGAAACAAGUACUCUGAAUGCCGACACUGAAAAUAUUCCAGACGUGAUUAAGACGAGUCGUGCCGAGUUCAAGGUGGUCGAUUUACUGCAUCAUAAAUGGCAGAAUCCUAUAGAAUGUUUGUCGUUGACGUUGGAGGAAGUGACACAUAUCCGCUGUGUACUGACCAAAGCUGAGCUCGAAAGUCUUAUAACCAAUCCAGAACUUUAUAGUCAAGUUAGCAAG
rnacentral:misc_RNA from 1 species